UACGUAGGGUGCGAGCGUUAAUCGGAAUUACUGGGCGUAAAGCGUGCGCAGGCGGUGAUGUAAGACAGUUGUGAAAUCCCCGGGCUCAACCUGGGAAUUGCAUUGGAAACUAACGGGCUCGAGUGUGGCAGAGGGGGGUGGAAUUCCACGUGUAGCAGUGAAAUGCGUAGAGAUGUGGAGGAACACCGAUGGCGAAGGCAGCCCCCUGGGCUAACACUGACGCUCAGGCACGAAAGCGUGGGGAGCAAACAGG
rnacentral:rRNA from 1 species